AAGUAAAAUCAUAAACAUCAAACAAAAAAGAGGGUAAAGACAUGAUCAUCUUUCUUUUUCCCCUUCACCACCGAUUUUCCAUGGAAGAGUAAACUAAGCUUUCGGUCAAGCUUGUUCUUCAAAUUUGGUUUUGAGCUCCUACAUGUGUUGCUGACUCGAGAAUACAAGAAUAAGUUCCAAGCUCAUACAUAUGUUAUGGACUCGAGAAUACAGGAAUAGGUUCCAAGCUCAUGCAUGUGUUGCGGACUCGAGAAUACAGGUUCAAUCCUAAGGGGUGAUCAGGCACUAUUACUUUCACCUAUGUAUGAAGUUUUUCUAUGAAGUUUCAUCGAGUAAUAUUGUGAAUAAAAAGGUGCUUGUAUGCCAUUGAUUAUUGGCUAAGUUAUACGUAUGAGUUGAAUAUAAGGUAUCAGUUGGUUUGAAAUGAAAAUGCGAACCUUUAAGGCA